rnacentral:rRNA from 1 species
UUCGGGUAUAGUGGCGCACGGGUGCGUAACACGUGGGGAUCUGCCCUUUGCUUCGGAAUAACAGUUAGAAAUGACUGCUAAUACCGGAUAAUGUCGCAAGACCAAAGAUUUAUCGGCAAAGGAUGAACCCGCGUAGGAUUAGCUAGUUGGUGGGGUAAAGGCUCACCAAGGCGACGAUCCUUAGCUGGUCUGAGAGGAUGAUCAGCCACACUGGGACUGAGACACGGCCCAGACUCCUACGGGAGGCAGCAGUGGGGAAUAUUGGACAAUGGGCGAAAGCCUGAUCCAGCAAUGCCGCGUGAGUGAUGAAGGCCUUCGGGUUGUAAAGCUCUUUUACCAGGGAUGAUAAUGACAGUACCUGGAGAAUAAGCUCCGGCUAACUCCGUGCCAGCAGCCGCGGUAAUACGGAGGGAGCUAGCGUUGUUCGGAAUUACUGGGCGUAAAGCGUGCGUAGGCGGUUACUCAAGUCAGAGGUGAAAGCCCGGGGCU